AGCGACGUGACGGAGGAUCAUUAUCGAGUUUUUUGAAGGGGUUGUAGCUGGCCUUUACGGAGGCAUGUUAGUGCACGCCCCGCUCAAUCCACUCUCUUACACCUGUGCACUCCUCCGUAGGUCUUUACAAGGUGGAAGGUGGGCUCUCUUUUGGGACCCUGCCCGAAGCUUUCUGGGGGCUUACGGUCGUUUACAAACACCUUUAAAGUAUCAGAACGCGUUGUUUGCAUGCGAUGCGUCGCAUCUUAUUAUACAACUUUCAGCAACGGAUCUCUUGGCUCUCGCAUCGAUGAAGAACGCAGCGAAAUGCGAUAAGUAAUGUGAAUUGCAGAAUUCAGUGAAUCAUCGAAUCUUUGAACGCACCUUGCGCUCCUUGGUAUUCCGAGGAGCAUGCCUGUUUGAGUGUCAUGAAAUUCUCAAUUCCGCAAGCUUUUGUUUGUGGACUUGGAUUUGGAGGCCUUGUCGGAUCACUUGAAGUGUUCGGCUCCUCUCAAAAGCAUUAGCUUGGCUCCUUGCGCAUUCGGCUUUCGGUGUGAUAAAUGUCUACGCCGUGGUCGUUUGAAAGCUGCUGUCGGACAAGCUUCUAGUUGAACGCGACGUUUUCUUGCCUUUACCCCGGCGAGAGAGCGGUUGUCGUUUUUUGAUCUUUCUGACCUCAAAUCAGGUAGGACUACCCGCUGAACUUAAGCAUAUCAAAAGCCGCGGAGAGGA
rnacentral:rRNA from 1 species